rnacentral:rRNA from 2 species
AUUGGUGCUUGCAUCAUGAUUUACAUUUGAGUGAGUGGCGAACUGGUGAGUAACACGUGGGAAACCUGCCCAGAAGCGGGGGAUAACACCUGGAAACAGAUGCUAAUACCGCAUAACAACUUGGACCGCAUGGUCCGAGCUUGAAAGAUGGCUUCGGCUAUCACUUUUGGAUGGUCCCGCGGCGUAUUAGCUAGAUGGUGGGGUAACGGCUCACCAUGGCAAUGAUACGUAGCCGACCUGAGAGGGUAAUCGGCCACAUUGGGACUGAGACACGGCCCAAACUCCUACGGGAGGCAGCAGUAGGGAAUCUUCCACAAUGGACGAAAGUCUGAUGGAGCAACGCCGCGUGAGUGAAGAAGGGUUUCGGCUCGUAAAACUCUGUUGUUAAAGAAGAACAUAUCUGAGAGUAACUGUUCAGGUAUUGACGGUAUUUAACCAGAAAGCCACGGCUAACUACGUGCCAGCAGCCGCGGUAAUACGUAGGUGGCAAGCGUUGUCCGGAUUUAUUGGGCGUAAAGCGAGCGCAGGCGGUUUUUUAAGUCUGAUGUGAAAGCCUUCGGCUCAACCGAAGAAGUGCAUCGGAAACUGGGAAACUUGAGUGCAGAAGAGGACAGUGGAACUCCAUGUGUAGCGGUGAAAUGCGUAGAUAUAUGGAAGAACACCAGUGGCGAAGGCGGCUGUCUGGUCUGUAACUGACGCUGAGGCUCGAAAGUAUGGGUAGCAAACAGGAUUAGAUACCCUGGUAGUCCAUACCGUAAACGAUGAAUGCUAAGUGUUGGAGGGUUUCCGCCCUUCAGUGCUGCAGCUAACGCAUUAAGCAUUCCGCCUGGGGAGUACGGCCGCAAGGCUGAAACUCAAAGGAAUUGACGGGGGCCCGCACAAGCGGUGGAGCAUGUGGUUUAAUUCGAAGCUACGCGAAGAACCUUACCAGGUCUUGACAUACUAUGCAAAUCUAAGAGAUUAGACGUUCCCUUCGGGGACAUGGAUACAGGUGGUGCAUGGUUGUCGUCAGCUCGUGUCGUGAGAUGUUGGGUUAAGUCCCGCAACGAGCGCAACCCUUAUUAUCAGUUGCCAGCAUUAAGUUGGGCACUCUGGUGAGACUGCCGGUGACAAACCGGAGGAAGGUGGGGAUGACGUCAAAUCAUCAUGCCCCUUAUGACCUGGGCUACACACGUGCUACAAUGGAUGGUACAACGAGUUGCGAACUCGCGAGAGUAAGCUAAUCUCUUAAAGCCAUUCUCAGUUCGGAUUGUAGGCUGCAACUCGCCUACAUGAAGUCGGAAUCGCUAGUAAUCGCGGAUCAGCAUGCCGCGGUGAAUACGUUCCCGGGCCUUGUACACACCGCCCGUCACACCAUGAGAGUUUGUAACACCCAAAGUCGG